UUAUUUGUGGAAUCUAUUUCUUGUGCGCGCUUUGGGAAUUGGUGUAUUAUAGUUGAACACGUUGAAAGAGAUACUAAAUGUUGUUGGUUUCUCCUCAAGUAUGUUUCUUGAGUUAGUGCAUUACUGUUGUAUUUCUCUUUAUCCACUUGUAGUAAUUUCUUUGCUGAUUCCAUUUUGUUCCCAACUUUUUUUACUUUUCCCCCAUUUAGGGAGAGGGCUGGGGCGAUUUAAGGGAGAUACUAGAUCAUGAAUAGUGUAUAAAUUGUCUAGUUAUGCGCUGUUCCUGCUUUGAGUUUGGUUUUCUGGGAUAUGAAUUGAAAUUCAUCUUUGUCCUUGUGUUGUGAAUCGAAUUUAGUUGGAAUGUGAGGUGAAGUUAAAUUCCCAUUGUUGACGAUACUUGGAGCUUAAUCUUGAGUUGGGAAAAACUGAACUAGGAGUUGACUGAACAUAGCUCUCUAAUUGCUACUGAAGUUCUAAUUUGCUGCUUAUAUAUAGUGGAUUGAGGAGUUUGAAUUGAAAAUCUGGAAAAACAUAGGAACAAAAAUUACUGAUAAUUUUCGAAGAGUUGAUAAUUGGCUGUUGGAUUACUUGUAAAAUUUGCAGAUUUUGCUGUCGAAAGAAUGAUUUAGUGAUUUGUCAAUUGAGCUGAUAUUAAGAGCUAAGAAUUGAUUAAUAACUUCUGUUUGGAUUGUCGUUUACUGAUAAAAGCUAUUGAGAAUUGUUCACUGUUUCGAUUUUCGAUAUGUGAAACCUGCAACUUGUUUGAAAAUUUGCGGAACAAGAUAGGGCCAUUAUCCCUUUACUAAAUCUCCGCUCUCUUGCAUCCACGAACAAGACCUUUCCCGAUCCAAUAGCUUUUUAUUAUUUAACAAGAAAGAUGAGUAUUAUCUGAAGUGUAAACUUAAGAGCUGCAUCUGAAUUUGGUGUAAGAACUUGUUCAUAUCUUUCUGAAAAUCAGUUGGGUCUGCUUUGGGUUAAACUAGAAUCAUCAAGCUAGUAGGAACUGAACUGAGCAGAGUAACUUCGGCAUUGCACAAUUUCAACUUUCUUACACAAUUUCUAAUACAUGUGACUAUCCUGCCUAGUUUCUUAACCGUAUUACUGUCUAGCCUGAUACAAUAGCUACCAGAAAUACCAAAAAAAUUUGCAGCUUCAGCAAACUAUUUCUAUCCAAAAUUUCCAGUUUUAGAUCAAGCUUUGUGAUUCCUGCAAGCUAGUGAAUGAAAAUCAACUUGUUUGUUGCUGAAGAUCUACUGAGUUUGGCACUGGAGUUCAGCUAGGGAAUUUAGUCACUAUUUUGAUUUAGGCUAAAAGGCUUCUUUACCUUUUGAACCAUAUUAAAAUAGAGUUGAAUAUUUUAUUUCAGCAAUUGUAGUUCACUUGUUAUGAUCUUUUAUGCAAAUUGGAUUAAGUAUUUAUAUUCCUGAUGCUCGCCUUUCUUAUAAUCUUUCUAUGGAUGAAAUUGAAUUUGAUAAGUAGCUCCUUUUUGUUAGAUGCCUGGAUAGAGAGAAGAAGAUGAUGUAUUGUUACAUGCCUCCUUGGUUCUUUGUAUCUUCCAUUUUUUCUGUAAUUUUUUUUAGGCACAAUGUGUGUCAGAUAAUGUAAGAUUUGGAUAUACAUAUCCUUGCACAAUAUCUCAAUUCUGGUGUAUUUAACUUUCACCAAUGAUAUUGUAGGUCAAUUAAUAGGAAUAAAAUAUGUCCCACCAACCAGGGGAUGAUGCUGAAUACAUGGCAGAUGAUAUGACAUGGAAGCUAUAGAUGAUGAUAUGGAUGAUUAGUUAACGGCAGCGACAUGAUGGUCUGUGCUCCUCCCUGAAAAUAUAUUUGUUCAUUUAUACGACGACUUGUUAGAUUUUUGCAGUUGUGAAUUCCAUGAUGGCACCGCAUUAGUACAACAAUGCUCACAGCAUAAUCUGCAUAACAAGGGGAGAAUCAAGAAUUCAAGUAGUAGAUCACAGAGGAGAAGCAGUGUUAGAUGACCAAGUCAGAGAAGGACAAUAUAUAGUUGUGCCACAGAACUAUGCAAUAGUAAAACAAGCUGGAAAUGAA